UACGUACCGUCCAAACGUUAUUCGGAAUUACUGGGCUUAAAGGGUACGUAGGCGGCGCUGUCAGUCGGGUGUGAAAGCCCUCGGCUCAACCGAGGAAUUGCGCCCGAUACUGCGGCGCUUGAGGGAGACAGAGGUAAGCGGAACUGAUGGUGGAGCGGUGAAAUGCGUUGAUAUCAUCAGGAACACCAGUGGCGAAAGCGGCUUACUGGGUCUCUUCUGACGCUGAGGUACGAAAGCUAGGGGAGCGAAGGGG
rnacentral:rRNA from 1 species